CUCCAGUUUUGAUUGCUCCGCACUGAUUAGUUUCACCUGUGUCUCUUCACCUCCCCUCACCUGAGUGUAUUUAGUCUCUGUGCUUCCCUUAAUCUCUUUGUCAGUUCCUCUUUGUAAUUUGGUUAUGCGGUCUUGGCAAUGAAUUCCCUGGUGUUUUGGAUUAUUCUGUUUCCUUUGGACCUCGUCUUUGAUAUUUGGAUUUUGUUAUUUGCCUGCUCCUUUGGACUUAUUUGACUUGUGGACUUCUUCCCUGGUGUUGGAUCACUGCCUGAAAUCAGGGCAAUCCAUAGCUGUUCAGAAGACAAACUAAGGUGGAGAAGAUGUACAGGUGGCCCAGCUUUUUCAUCCUGUGCAUCCUUCUUCCCUCACCUCUUUGGGGACGGCCGGGGCUCUCUGGUAUGCGGGAGCUCAUUCUUUCAUGUCAGACACUGAACUUAGCCACUGUGAACAAUUCCUGUUUGGUUCAAUGCUCACUAAUGAGCUAAGUUCUGCAUCUUCAGAAAAGUCAUCCCAGAGUGGCAUUUGCAGCAAGAAAUCUGAGUCUCAUUCUGCAAGAAAGAAAAUCUUAAUACAACAAAAUUAUACUUAAUAGAGAUCAUGGAUUUAAUGAUGUUGCAAUCAUGCUUAGUCCUGUAAAAGUAAUGUCUGCUGCUUUCAUGCUGUGACUUAUCCAAAGGAGAAAGGCAAAGAAGUCAUUAAAUAUAGAAAAAACAGAGGAAAUUUGCUCAUAAAAACAAACUAUUAGUGUAAUAUAUUACACUGGCCAUUAACAUGAAUGUAGAAUGUGUGGAGACACGAGACGAGUGGUUGGCCAAAGAGUUAGACCACGGUUUAUUACUUUCAAAUGCAAGAACUGAAUAGUUAUUUUCAUCCAUGUUAAUAAACCAUGUAAAAAGUAAAUUGCCUCACAUCACUCUUCAAACCUAGUGGUUAUAAAUACUCAAGAUUUAGAUAAUUUACUAAAGUAAAAGUAAAAAUACUCCAGUACAAGAAAAGGUCCUCCAUUCAAAAUUUUGCUCAUGCAAAGUACAGAAGUAUUAAUGGCAAAAUGUACUUAGAGUAUAAAAAGUACAUGUACUGGCACCUGUCAGUGGUAUAUUAUGAUAUAAGACAUUAUUGAAUUAUUAUAACUGAUGUAUAAAACAUUUAGGCUGCAUUUUCACGUUGCAGCUGGUUAAGAUUUAUCAAAUUUGAACAGCUUCAUACACUGUGGGAAGGUUAACAAUUCAUGGAGUAAAAAGUUAAAUAUUUUUUAAAGUAGUUGAGUAGAAGUAUAAUAUAGCAGAAAAUGGAAAUACAAGUAAAAUACCUCUAUAUUGUACUUAAUUACAGUACUUAAGUAAAUGUAUUUAGUUACUUUCCACCACUGCUCAAAUGUAAUUACUAAAGAAGGGAAAAAAACAGUGGUUGGUCAAACCAGGCCCAGAUGCGGGUCCCAGCUUUGGACAGACCAUUGCUAGAAGGUUUAGUAAACUGUAUGUAAAUGACAUGAUCACUAGAUGUUUUAUAAACUUUAAAUGCAGAUAUCGUCUUUCUCUUCUC